rnacentral:ncRNA from 1 species
UGAAAUGCGACGAAGAGAAGAGUAGGGAAAACGAUCUUGUACAGAGAGCUCCGGCAGCUGAGAAGGAGCCAAGUGACAUUCGCCGAACCAAGCCUCAGAGCGGCUUACCGGAAUCGGACCCGAGGAUGGUAAGACGGGAGCUCCCGUUACAGAGCUAGAGUAUAAUCAUGCGGGGAGUUUGCGCAUGCCGUACUUGAAGAGGUUAAUAUGGCGACAUAUUGAUAAAGCUGGGGUGGCACCGCGAACAACUUCGUCCCCAAG